AAUAUCAUGAUGUAUUAGAGGAGUCUUACCAAGCAAAGAUCCAAACAGACCCUCUGGAAUCAACUGUUGUACUUCUGCACUUUUUGUCUCUUCUAGAUGCUCCAAUGAUGGUCCCACUUGGACUUCUCUGCAUGAUGGCAAGUACUGCUCCUCCGAUUCCUCUUCUUCCGGAACGCUACGAAUUAAUAGCUGACUGGAAGGGGUUUCCUUUAGCACAGAAAGGGGUCCUCGCACAUGACGACCAUACAACAGCUCAAACGGAGAGAAUCCUGUGGAUGCCUGCGGAACCUCCCGGUAAGAGAACAACAGGUACGGUAGCCAUUGGUCCCAAUCUGAUCCAGUCACGCUAACAAAUUUCCUCAGCAUCUGUUUUAGGGUGGCAUUAAAUCGCUCCACUAGCCCAUCCACCUGCGGGUGAUAGGGUGUGGUCCUUAACCCCCCGAAUUCCUAACAAACUAUUCACCUGUCUUAUCAAUUUUGCUGUUAGGUUGGACCCCUGGUCAGUUAACAUUUCUCUUGGGAUCCCCACUCUGGCAAAUAGCUGUAUUAAAACCCUCACAAUGUUACUUGCAUUUGUCUUUUUCAGGGGAAAAGCUUCUGGAAACCGGGUUGCGUAGUCGUACACCACUAAAAUAUAUUUAUGUCCAGUGCGGCUACAUUCGACAGGACCCACAAUGUCAACCGCUAUCCUGAAAAAAGGCUCUUCCACUACAGGCAAAGACUGCGAACCCCUUAUGGCCUUGUCAAAGCAGACACGCAGACUGGGGUCGUCCCGCUGAGCGGAAGCCACAUCGCUCGGUAAGUCGCUACCGUUUCCUGUGAGAUCCAAAGGCAAUAUGAGCUCACCCUGCUUCUGGGGAACGCCCCAGAGCUUCU